rnacentral:rRNA from 1 species
CACAAGCGGUGGAGUAUGUGGCUUAAUUCGAUGCAACGCGAAGAACCUUACCUGGGCUUGACAUGUAAUGAACAACAUGCGAAAGCAUGCGACUCUUCGGAGGCGUUACACAGGUGCUGCAUGGCCGUCGUCAGCUCGUGUCGUGAGAUGUUUGGUUAAGUCCAGCAACGAGCGCAACCCCUGUUGCCAGUUACCAGCACGUGAAGGUGGGGACUCUGGCGAGACUGCCCAGAUCAACUGGGAGGAAGGUGGGGACGACGUCAGGUCAGUAUGGCCCUUAUGCCCAGGGCUGCACACGUACUACAAUGCCCAGUACAGAGGGGGCCGAAGCCGCGAGGCGGAGGAAAUCCUAAAAACUGGGCCCAGUUCGGACUGUAGGCUGCAACCCGCCUACACGAAGCCGGAAUCGCUAGUAAUGGCGCAUCAGCUACGGCGCCGUGAAUACGUUCCCGGGUCUUGUACACACCGCCCGUCACAUCAUGGAAGCCGGUCGCACCCGAAGUAUCUGAAGCCAACCGCAAGGAGGCAGGGUCCUAAGGUGAGACUGGUAACUGGGAUGAAGUCGUAACAAGGUAGCCGUAGGGGAACCUGCGGCUGGAUCA